GAUUCUAUUGCCAUCAUUAUCUACUAUUGCGAUCACUAUUGCCAUUGCCAUCACCAUUACUAUCACUAUUACCAUCGUUGUCACUAUCAUUGUCACUAUCUGCUAUCGCCGUCAUUGUAACCAUUGCCAUUGCCAUAACCAUCAUUGUCGCCAUUGCCAUUGCCAUCACCAUCACCAUCACUGUUGCUAUUGCUAUCCACUGUCC
rnacentral:lncRNA from 1 species